rnacentral:rRNA from 1 species
CACCUCCCAUCCGUGUCUAUCUGUACCCUGUUGCUUCGGCGUGGCUACGGCCCGCCGAAGACUAACAUUUGAACACUGUCUGAAGUUUGCAGUCUGAGUUUUUAGUUAAACAAUAAUUAAAACUUUCAACAACGGAUCUCUUGGUUCCGGCAUCGAUGAAGAACGCAGCGAAAUGCGAUAAUUAAUGUGAAUUGCAGAAUUCAGUGAAUCAUCGAGUCUUUGAACGCACAUUGCGCCCCCUGGUAUUCCGGGGGGCAUGCCUGUCCGAGCGUCAUUGCUGCCCUCAAGCACGGCUUGUGUGUUGGGCUUCCGUCCCUGGUAACGGGGACGGGCCCAAAAGGCAGUGGCGGCACCAUGUCUGGUCCUCGAGCGUAUGGGGCUUUGUCACCCGCUCCCGUAGGUCCAGCUGGCAGCUAGCCUCGCAACCAAUCUUUUUAACCAGGUUGACCUCGGAUCAGGUAGGGAUACCCGCUGAACUUAAGCAUAUCAAAA